CCAACCACUAGAGGAGUGCUCUUCCCCUUCCCCUCAUCUGCUCUGAGCCUGGCAGAGAUGGAAGCUAGACUUGCAGAAGGACUUCCUGACAAGGUUUCAGACAGGAUUUCAUGCUCCCCAAACUGUCCUCAAACUUGAUAUAUAGCCAAGGAUGUCCUUGAAACACUCAUCUAUUUGACUCUGCCCAACUCAUGCUACCAUCGUGGGCGCGAGGAACACAUCAGGAUUCACCAUCAGCACCUUGGAAGAGCUCUGUCCAACAAGCCAGCAAAGAAAGCUGACCUUGGGCUGGUGUAGAUGAGUGGGUAGUGCACUUGCAUAAGGCUUUAGGGAUUGCAUCUGCAGUACCUUAAGAAAUAUUAUCGAGUCUUGGAGUAACCCAGUUGGUUGGCAUUUUGUUUGAGCUAUCUGUGCUGCGGUUCUGCAUUUGCAGUCUGAGGAUCUGCCAAGAUAGUACAGGCUGUGCCCAGUUCUCCCUCUAAGACUUUAUCCAUGUAUCUCUGCCUGGAAGUGGGCUGCCUUUCUCUCAUUCUACCCUGACCAGCCCAACAUGGGUGUGGGAGGGCAGCUUGUCAGACCUUCUCCAGGAAGCUCACUGCCCUCUGUUCCUUCCUUCUCUCUGGGCUACACUCUCAGAGAGUCACCUGGAACGUCUCACACAAGCCUGACACUCCGUGUCUAUGCCAACUUUGCUGACUUUGCUUUCUGUCCCAGCACCCAGAAGAAUUAGGAAGAUCAUGUACAAGUUCCAGAGCAGAAUGGGCUAUAGAGUAAGACACUGUCCUCAAGAUAAAUAAAUAAAUGUCCCUUUUUGGAGGGCCUUCUACAUCAGAGA
rnacentral:lncRNA from 1 species